rnacentral:lncRNA from 10 species
CGCGUCCACUAAGUGGUGUCGUCUGCCUGCAAGACCUGCACAGCUCCCAGGCCUAUGGCUUUGGGCACCAGGUGCUGCGCCAGCGUCUGGAAAUGAUUAAUUCCUGGGCACACCUGCUGUGUGCCCAGCCCUGGGGCUGAGGACGGAGCCCUUUCCUGCCAUCAUGGAGCCUGCAUUGCACGGGGGUUCCCAUUCCACCGUGACCUGGCAGGAGAUGUCAGACCGCAGCUGAGGGCCCUGCUGGUUUCCUACGAGGAGGCUGCAGAUGGGAAUGAGGACCUCACGGUCAAGGGCGUGGACACCUCCCGCCUGACAGAUGACACAUUUGGACUCAGCGUCGCCACCUGGGAGUUGGGAUGGGGGCUCAGGCAGAGGCGCUGGUUCGUUGUCCCACAGAUCAAGCCUCUCUGAGUCCUCGGCUGUCUUGGUGGAGACUCCAAAGGUGAGGCCGGACUGCAUGUCCCAUGACCCUUCUCCACCGGGCAGGGCCAAGGACCCUGCAGCAAGGGCCCUUCAUGCCGGGCUCACCACCCUGUUCCCUCCAUGACCUCGCCAAAAGCCUCCCGCUCCCACCCCCGGCUUUGGGACGGUCAAACAGGUGAGGGCUGGGGGUCCUGCCCCGGGGGGAGGAUGACAGGCGACGGGAGGAGUGCCUGGCAUGGCCGAAGAGAACACGGCAGUGGGGUGUGUGUCAGCAGCAGUGGCACAGCCAAACCCCGGCAGGCUUCAUGCAGAAGGCGGCAUCUGGGGAGAAGUUAAAAGCUGAGCAGGAGCCAGCGGGUGAAGUGGGAAACGGAGAAAGGGCUAUAGCCUGUGCCCAGCUCUCCCUGUCAGCCUGAGAUGAGGGACAUCUUUUGUGUCCGGGCACUGCCUGGGUUGCUUGGACAGAAGCCUCAGAGCUGGAAGGAGCUGAGAAACCACAAGCUCCAAUGCUCACGCCCCAUAGGGGACCGAGGAACCGCAGAAGGGACCGCACCUGCCCGGUGGCCAGCAACGGAAGGACGGCAGGGAGCGAACACACUCCAGCCCCUACGGUCUCUCCGCUCUCCCAGCUGAGCUGUCUUCCCCGGAGGCCGGGCUGCAACCCGAGAAGGCGCCGCGCCAUCGGCCCUCACCCUGCUCCGCCUAAGCUGCUGCUUUUCCUCUGCAAAUGCCCUGGGCUGGACGUCAAACCACAGUCAGGUAGGGGCGGCCCAGACCAGGGACCAGCAGCUGGUUCCCUCUGCCUGGUCUCACUUCUAAAGCCACUGGAAGAGGAAACACAUAAAAUGUGACUUUGCAGAGGAAUUCCAAUAAACAAGAUGUGUUUCCAAGUCUUCUGAGGCUGCCGAGACUGAGUAGCUGCGUGUGAGCAGCCACAACUCCUCUGUUGUCCUCCUGCAAAGUGUCCCCGCCCUCCCACUCAGGUCGCGUUCCUCCGGCCGCCCCCGGCUGCUCCCGCCACAGGAGACUGGACGGUGGGCUCUGGCCUUGGGGACCUCCGGCCCUGCCUGCAGCAGGCCCCAGUGUGUGUGGGCGAGAGGGCCGGGCCAGCUGACUCCUGUCUUUCUUUGGGACCACGUCAUCAAGCGGGCUGGAGCCAGAGGCUGGGCCCCUCUGUGUCCCGGGGAUCCUCACCCCCCAGGUCCCCAGUGCUGUCCUUGUCACCACUGAACGGCAGUUUCUCCCCACCCCGUGCUUCAGUUUACCUGUCCGGACCAGGGGUGGCAACCUCUUUUCCAGAACGGGGCAGAAGGUGAAUGCAGUUCACUCUAGUUCUCUGCAUUGUGUCUUCUUUUUAAAGAAAAUAACCCUUUACAAAUGAAGGGUUGGCCGGGUGCAGUGGCUCACGCCUGUAAUCCCAGCACUUUAA